rnacentral:rRNA from 1 species
GACGAACGCCGGCGGCGUGCUUAACACAUGCAAGUCGUACGGUAAGGCCCUUUCGGGGGUACACGAGUGGCGAACGGGUGGGUAAAACGUGAGUAACCUGCCCACAACUUUGGGAUAACGCUAGGAAACUGGUGCUAAUACUGGAUAUGUUCUCCUGCUGCAUGGUGGGGGUUGGAAAGCUCCGGCGGGUGUGGAUGGACUCGCGGCCUAUCAGCUUGUUGGUGGGGUAGGGGCCUACCCAGGCGGCGACGGGUAGCCGGCCUGAGAGGGUGACCGGCCACAUUGGGACUGAGAUACGGCCCGGCCUCCGACGGGGGGCAGCAGUGGGGAAUAUUCCACAAUGGGCGCAAGCCUGAUGCAGCAACGCCGCGUGGGGGAUGACGGCCUUCGGGUUGUAAACCGCUUUCAGCAGGGACGAAGCUUUUUGUGACGGUACCGGCAGAAGGAGCACCGGCUAACUACGU